rnacentral:tRNA from 1 species
GGCUUCGUAGCUCAGCUGAUAGAGCGCUUGCCAAGUUGAGGCAUGGUGUUUCUGUCGCUGGUUCGAAUCCAGCCGAAACCC